UUCAUGCUGCUGAAUCAAUCACGAAGGGUCCAAUGACCAAAGGGAUAUCACUCGAGCAGUCGAACAGGACAACCCGGAACUGAAAGAAACGCAAAACGAACUUGCAGGACCCAAAAAAGGAACAGACGAGCGAAGAAGGAAACCGAAAUCGAAUCGAAAGAUUAUCAUUUUCCAUUGCGGUCCUGCAAAGGGUUUCCCCAAACAUGAGAAAUCGGGGAAAAGGGAAAUGGAAAAAGAAAAAGAGGAAAGAGAAAAGAAAAAUGAG
rnacentral:ribozyme from 1 species